AUCCGCUGCCUGCAGGACGACGAGGCCGAAGCUGACGAUGAGGAGGUGGGCGGAGCUUCAGAAACGGGGGGGGCGUGGCCUGCAGGCUUAGCCCCGCCCCCACGGUGCGCUCUCGUCCAAUCAGGUGGAGGCGGCGGCGGAGCUGCGGGAGCAGGCGGGGGAGGGGCUGGUGGCGGUGGGCGGGGCUUCGCCGGGGGGCGGGGCUUUGAGCGACGCCUUCCGCCGAGUCCUGCCCACCCUAUUGGGCUGCCUGGUGAGGGGGCGGGGCUAAAGGGGGAGGGGGCGGGGCUAAAGGGGAAGGGGGCGGGGCUAAAGUUAUGGGGCGGGGUUAUAAGGGAAGGGGAUGGGGUUAGAAGGAAGGAGGUGGGGUUAACUGGAAAGGGGCGGGGUUUAAAGGGAAGGGGGCGGAGUUUAAAGGGAAGGGGGCGGGGCUUGGUUGAGGUGUCCCUAUUUUGGGUUCCUAUGGGGUCUCUAUGGGUCCCUAUGGGGUCUAUGGGGUCCCUAUGGGUCCCUAUGGGUUCCUAUGGGUCUCUAUGGGUCCUAUGGGUUUCUAUGGGUGUCUGUGGGUCCCUAUGGGUCUCUAUGGGGUUCUAUGGGGUCUCUCUGGGUCCCUAUGGGUCUCUAUGGUUCCCUAUGGGUCCCCAUGGGUCUCUAUGGGUCCCUAUGGGUCCCUGUGGGUCUCUGUGGGUCUUUAUGGGUGCCUAUGGGUCUCUGGGUCCCUAUGGGUCUCUAUGGGUCUCUCUGGGUCCCUAUGGGUCCCUGUGGCUUCCUAUGGGGUCUCUGUGGAACACUAUGGGGUCGCUAUGGUUCUCUAUGGGGCUCCAUGUGUCCCUGUGGGUCCCUGUGGGUCUCUAUGGGGUCCCAUGUGUCCUGUGGGGUCUCUGUGGGGUUUAUAUGGUGUCUCAAUGGGUCUCAGUGGGUGUCAGUGGGUCUCUAUGGGUCUCUGUGGGUCUCUGUGGGUCCCUAUGGGUUUCUAUGGGUCCCUAUGUGUCCUAUGGGUUUCUAUGGGUGUCUGUGGGUCCCUAUGGGUCUCUAUGGGGUUCUAUGGGGUCUCUCUGGGUCCCUAUGGGUCUCUAUGGUUCCCUAUGGGUCCCCAUGGGUCUCUAUGGGUCCCUAUGGGUUUCUAUGGGUCCCUCUGGGUCCCUAUGGGUCCUAUGGGUUUCUAUGGGUGUCUGUGGGUCCCUAUGGGUCUGAAUGGGCUUCUGUGGGGUCUCUCUGGGUCUCUGGGUCCCUAUGGGUCCCUAUGGGUCCCUAUGGGUCUCUAUGGGUCCCUAUGGGUCUGUAUGGGUCUCUAUGGUUCACUAUGGGUCCCUAUGGGUCCUAUGGGUCCCUAUGGGUCCCUGUGGGUUUCUAUGGGUCUCUAUGGGGCUCUCUGGGUCCCUAUGGGUCCCUAUGGGGUCUAUGGGAUCCCUAUGGGUCUCUGUGGUUCCCUAUGGGGUCCCUGUGGGUCCCUGUGGGUCCCUAUGGGUCCCUGUGUGUCCCUGUGCCCCAUUUGUGCCCCCGCCCCCCGCUGACGUCGCAGAGCGGCGACGCGGCGCAGCGCUCCUGGGCGGCCGCCAUCUUGGGCGAGGCAGGCUUUUACCUGGACGUGGGCAUGGCCAAGGAGCUCCUCCCUCUGAUUGGCCCGGCCCUCGCUCGAAGCUCCGCCCACGACCCGGACCCGGAAGUGCGCAGCAACGCCCUCUGCAGCAUCGGGCGCCUGGCGGCCAAUGGCGUCGCGUUGGGGGCGGCGUGGCCGGGCCUGGCUGCCAUUGGCCGAGCGCUGCGGGAGGAGGGGCCGGGCUGGGCGCGGGACAACGCCUGCGGGGCUUUGGUCCGCCAUAAGGGGGCGCUGCCGGAUGCGGAACUGCUGGUUCUGCUGCUCCCGGCGCUGCCGCUGACGGCGGAUUUUGAGGAGAAUUCCGCCGUUUUUGGGUACCUGCUGCAGCUGCACGUCCAGCAGAUCUGGAAGCUGCAGUUGUGGGGCUGCUGCAGGAGCUGUGGAGGAGCUGCCCCAUAG
rnacentral:lncRNA from 1 species